rnacentral:rRNA from 1 species
UACGUAGGGGGCAAGCGUUGUCCGGAAUUAUUGGGCGUAAAGAGCUCGUAGGCGGCCUGUCACGUCCGCUGUGAAAUCCCGGGGCUCAACCCCGGGCCUGCAGUGGAUACGGGCUGGCUGGAGGCAGGCAGGGGAGAACGGAAUUCCUGGUGUAGCGGUGAAAUGCGCAGAUAUCAGGAGGAACACCGGUGGCGAAGGCGGUUCUCUGGGCCUGUUCUGACGCUGAGGAGCGAAAGCGUGGGGAGCGAACAGG